ensembl:lncRNA
UUCGCCACAAGAGGGCGCAAAAAAACGACGAAAUAAUACAUCUCCUAAUUGGCCAAUGGAAUGUUCUGAAAACGCGUUUUGGGCUAUAACUCCCACACCGAACCUCCCACAGUCAAAACCUUUAUAUCCACAGAUUCACUGGAGUCAGCUGCAUCUUUUGGCAUACGCCGUUUCUCAAUUUCGAACACAUGCUUCGCGUUGUGCCGGCGAAAUGCACACUUCUUGGACCCCUGCAUAACUGCUUGCAGUUCUAGUUAGGGGUCCAAGCCAACAGGUUGGAUCCCUAUUGUUUUUGUAAGGAUUUUUCUUAUUAUUCCAGCAGCUAAAAGUGGUACUACAGCCCAAACCGUAAAUGGUGCACACACGCCAAUUACAUGACUAGAUCCAGGUCCGUGAGGUGACGGCAGACGACAAAAACCAGACACGCCGGCCACUAGGUGGCGCUAUACCAAGGAAUACGCGUUUGGGGCUAUAACUCCCACACCGAAACUCCCACAUUCAAAAACUUGUACACACAGAUGCACUGGAGUCUGCUGCAUCUUUUG